GAUGGUGUAGCUCAGUAGGAUAGAGCAGCAGCCUUCUAAGCUGUCGGUCGGCGGUUCGAAUCCACCCACCAUCGCCA
rnacentral:tRNA from 4 species